rnacentral:rRNA from 1 species
CGCCGGCGACCGGCGCACGGGUGAGUAACACGUAUGCAACCUGCCCUCCGCAGGGGGAUAACCCGGAGAAAUCCGGACUAAUACCGCGUGGUACACCAGUGGGGCAUCCCACUGGUGUUAAAAGGAAGUGAUUCCGGCGGAGGAUGGGCAUGCGGCGCAUUAGCUUGUUGGCGGGGUAACGGCCCACCAAGGCGACGAUGCGUAGGGGUUCUGAGAGGAAGGUCCCCCACACUGGUACUGAGACACGGACCAGACUCCUACGGAAGGCAGCAG